AUAUUGCGCAAUGGGGGAAACCCUGACGCAGCAACGCCGCGUGAAGAAAGAAGGCCUUCGGGUUGUAAACUCCUUUGAUUAGGGACGAACAAAUGACGGUACCUAAGUAACAAGCCACGGCUAACUACGUGCCAGCAGCCGCGGUAAUACGGAGGUGGCAAGCAUUGUCCGGAAUUACUGGGUGUAAAGGGCGUGUAGGCGGGAAUGCAAGUCAGGUGUGAGAUUCCGGGGCUUAACCUCGGCGCUGAAUCUGAAACUGUAUUUCUUGAGUAUCGGAGAGGAAAGCGGAAUUCCCAGUGUAGCGGUGAAAUGCGUAGAGAUUGGGAGGAACACCAGUGGCGAAGGCGGCUUUCUGGACGAAAUCUGACGCUGAGGCGCGAAAGCGUGGGGAGCAAACAGG
rnacentral:rRNA from 1 species